UGAUGGUCCAAAUAGUCCACUUCUUCCGCCUCUCGCAUCUCCCUUCCGCCAUCUUCUUCCAACCUCCACCCUCUAGUGUUUGAUUUGUAGUUGUGAACAGUAUGUAUAACGGAACAGGGUUACAAUCCCCAAGAGGUUCAGGGACCAAUGGGUACAUUCAGAGCAACAAGUUUUUCGUGAAACCUAGAACUUCAAAGGUUGCUGACAACAUCAAGGGCUUUGAAGUAGAUCAGGGAAAGGCCAACAAAGAGAUUCUUGAGCAUGACCGCAAGCGUCAGAUUCAGCUCAAGCUUGUUAUCCUUGAAGACAAGCUGAUUGAUCAGGGUUAUACUCAGUCUGAGAUUGCCGAGAAACUGGAGGAGGCUCGGAUUAAUUUGAAGGCUGCAGCUGACCACAAUGAUGGAUCGUCGAAUUUGGAUAACUAAGUGUUUGGGAUUUUGGUAUUCGUUAAUGCAUGACUAAUGAUUUCAUGAUAUAACCGUUUUGUUCAAUUGUUGGUUACAACCAUAUUGAUUUUGUCUCUUGGUUUGAAAAAAUCUUGUGGUUAGUAUUCAUGUCGGGUUUGAUGUGAAAUGUUUGUGGCUUCAAAUGUAAUAUUUUGUCAACUAAGUCUGUGAGUGAUUUGAUCA